GCCCAGAUGGCGGAAUUGGUAGACGCACCGUCUUCAGGUGGCGGCGGGGGAAACCCCGUGGAGGUUCGAGUCCUCUUCUGGGCACCA
rnacentral:tRNA from 2 species